CCUCUCUUGCCCAUAAACUCAGCUCCUUGAGCUAAAUACACAAAAGGGAGCGAGAGGUUUGAACCAUUGGAAAAAGUACGGUAUAUAUAGUAGGUUUAGAGAGGCGAGUAAGAGAAAAAAACAAUAAACACCACAGCUCUUUCCAGCUAGAAUAUUAGGCACCACGAGAAAAAUAUUUGCCAAGCAGUUUUCGUAUCCAGGUGGCAUCAGUAUGUGGACCUCCCUCACUCCAGCAGCACUAUGGUAUAGGAUUAAAGAAAGGACUGGCUUGAAUAUAUUCAGAUUCUUUUAAAUCAUCCUUAAGAAGCUCUAAAGAGAGGUUCCACGGCCGGGGUCUUCCGAAUGAUUGCUGCAGAUUUGGAGCUCUGCCUGGAACUCCUUAUGGGACAGUGAGCAAAGCCACUUGUGAGGACUCCGUUCCCUCAACAGUGUAAGGAAUAACCCCGAGGAUGUGCAGGCUGCCUGACUGCUCCAAGUUCUAUACCUUUACAUCUAAAUACACAUUUACUUAACUUUCGGGUGGGGGAGAUGGAAAGGAGCUGUGUGUAUAUGUGUGCCUGGGCUGAGGGAAGGGGUUAAAAUGUAAACUUCUAGGUAAAGAAGGCAGUCCCAGAAUCCUCACCUCUAUCAAUUUUUAACCAAUUAUAGACCAAAGUCUGGGAUUAUGCUGAGUGGGUCCAAAAGCCAAUUGAAGAUUUUAAAUGUUAAGAGUUGCUGGAGGAGGCAGGUUCUAAGACCUUGUACUUUUGAUCUCCAGCAUUUAUAAUCAGACUUGACAGAUCCCGAGUGUCUUUUCUGCCCUAUAGUUUUUUUUGUUUUUUUUUUUCUGUUUGUUUUUGGAAGAGGUCCCAGUCAAUGAUAGGAAGGAGAUGACAUUUGUACACUGGAUAGUGUUUAAGCCACUGGGCUGCAUGUGGAUGUGAAAAAUGCAUCAUAACAUUCACAUACACACAUGCAUGCACACACACAAAGGAAGAUAAGAAAAAUCUAGAGAGAGAUUCCUGGUAAUAAGCUUAGAGGUAAUGCAGCCAUCAUUGCAUUAAAGGUAAUUAUUUCCUGUUAGAGGAAAUAACAAAUGAGGAGUUUGCCUUUACCAAAAAGAGAGAGAGAGAGAAAAGAAGAGAAAGAGAAGAGAUCUUGAUCUAUCGGAACAAACUUAAAAGCAAUGAAAGAGAUAUUUUCCAUCAAUAUUUCUUAUGCUUUCUUGAUCUCCAGUCUUUAAAAGGAAAGAUCUAAAGUUUCUAAAACUUGAUUGUCUAGACAACCUAAGGCCUUUAACAGACGUCUGCAUGCCCAGGAAAUAAUAAAAUGACUUGUUAUUUACUAGCAGUGACCUUCUCACCACCCAUCCCUCACUGGCUUAGACGUUCUGGAAUAUUGAGCCUAUGUACAAAGAUGGGUGGAGCCAAUUACAUUUUCUCAAUGUAAAACUAUUGAGAGUUACAAUAUGCCAGAACUGGGAGGGUCCUUAGCCAUUAUCCAAUCCAUUAUUACUGAUUUUAUAUCACUGAAAAUUGAAGCCCAGACAGAAUCCAUUUGCCACAUAUACCUCAUCGCUUACAGAACUAGGUCCAGAAUUUUGAUGCCCUAGUUCUAAAUCCACUAUGCUUUUUAUGGCUUAUUAUGGAAAGAGGGUAUGGGGUGAGCAGCCCUGCAGAAGAGUCAUUUGCUGUGGCCUCACAUUGAGAGAAGUUCUCGAAUUGAGACUUUUGACAUUAUCUCUGCUAACGUUAUACCUCAAUCUUAGCAGCACCCUGGCACAAUUGAAAGAAGACCAUCGUGUGCAACUUUUGCGUGUGGAUCCCAGUGUAGGACCGCAGGUUCCUAUGAUACUGUGAUUUAAUAUUGUUAAUCUAUAAUUGUUUUACAACUUGUGCAAUUGUAUUGUAAUUGUGUGUAUGUUGGUAUUAAAAUGUCAGAUUUAAAAUAUAUUUAGCCUAGAAGCAAU